ACUUGGAUAUUAUUGAUAGUGGGUGGAGAUGUUAUUCCUUGAGACUUAACAUUUCAGUCUCUGUUGAAGGUAAUUCAGUUAGCUUCCACGGGUUUGAAGAGGUGCUUGAGGACUGGACAAAGACUGCUUACGGACCCCUCUGCUGAGAUCUCUGGAACACAAAGUCAGUUUGUUUUCACAGUUUAGAAGAGGAGCAUUGCAAGGAAAAUGGGAUCACCUCACUCAAAGCGCAAGUCUAAAUCACAACAUAGAUCGCAUGAAUCAUCCAAGUCAGUUUCCAGGCAUGUGCUUGACCCUGUGGAAAUUGCUGGCAUUCCUACUUAUUCGGUGAGCAAUGCGUUGGUUCCGUCACAUAGUAACAACAGCAUCCAGAGGUCUAUGAAUGUACCAAGAAAUGGGGCAAUGACUCGACAUUACAACAACUUUGAUCAAGGUGUUGAAACAUAUCAACGUAUAGUCAUGAAGAACGGCCGGCCUGUUGAAACUGAAGAAUACAGGAUUUAUUCAACUGAUUAAAGCCUACUUGAAACUAUGUCAUGUCAUCACAUUAAUUUAGAUAUGUAAUUGCUUAUGUAAUGAAAAUAUGUGUACUAAUGAUGGCAUCCAGCCAGCAUCCAGAGGUCUAUGGAUAUUCCAAGAAAUGAGACUGAAGAAUUCAUGUUUUAUUGGCUGCUUAAAAAUAGGGAAAAUAUUUUUAAUAUAUAUAUAUAUAGUUUUUUUUUCACAGCCCUAAAUGAGGGUUGAUAAGAUAUCUGCUGUGUAUUCUUACUUCUCAGUUAUUUCUUUUGUCAAUAAACUGAUUUGGAAGUUCAUAAUGUGUACUUUUAGAAAAAAAAAAAAAUGCAAUUUAGCAUCUUUAAAUUUUCAUGUCCUUCAUUUCCCCAAAACCAGAAUAAAUCACUUAAUUGAUCACUGCAACAUUUCCCAUCAG